UACGAAGGGGGCUAGCGUUGCUCGGAAUGACUGGGCGUAAAGGGCGCGUAGGCGGCGAUCAAGGUCAGAUGUGAAAGCCCCGGGCUCAACCUGGGAACUGCAUUUGAAACUGGCGGGCUUGAGUAUGGCAGAGGGGGGUGGAAUUCCGCGUGUAGCAGUGAAAUGCGUAGAGAUGCGGAGGAACACCGAUGGCGAAGGCAGCCCCCUGGGCCAAUACUGACGCUCAGGCACGAAAGCGUGGGGAGCAAACAGG
rnacentral:rRNA from 1 species